CAACUUAGCAAGGCCCUAUGCAACUUAGAGAGAUCCUGUCUCAAAAUAAAACAUAAAAUGGGCUGGGGAUGUGGCUCAGUGGUAAAGCCAUCACUACGAUAAAUUCCUAGUACCCCCCAAAAAAAAUUUCAAAAGAAUAAUUAUAAAAAGAGCAGCAAAUUCCAAGAGAACACAGAAAAACAAUGAAUUAAGGCAGUCAGUACAGAAUAUGAGUGACAAAUUUAAGAGAUAGAGAUACAAUAGAAAUCAUGAAGUUGAAAGGUAUAAUGAAUCAAACAAAAAUUCAGUUGAAAGUCUCUCCUUUAGAGUAGAACAAGUAGAAAACAGAAUCUCAGAGCUGGAAGAGAAAGUGUUCAGCCUUUAAUAUUUAGAUGGUAAUAAAGAAAAUAAAUAACAAUGAUCAGAAUAUACAAGAACUCUGGGGCAUUAGGAGACCGAAUUUAAGGAUCACUGGAAUUGAAGAGGGAUCUGAGAUACAGACAUAGCAUAGAUAACAUGGCAUAGAUAACCCUUUCAGGGAAAUAAUAACAAAACUUUUCAAACCUUGGAAAUAAGAUGGACAUCCAGAUAUAGGAGGCAUGCAGAUUAAAACAUUAUGAUUAAAAUGCCUAACACAGAGAACAAGGAUAGAAUUUUAAAAGCUUCAAGAGAAAAACAUAGUGUCACAUGUAAAAAGGCAAGCCAACUAGAAUUACUUUUGAUUUCUCAAAAUAAGCUCUAAAACUCAGGAGGGCAUUGUUCCAAGCUCUUAAGGAAAAUAACUGUCAACCAAAAUUUCUAUAUCCAGAAAACUAUCCUUUGGAAUAUAAGGGAAAGAAAAACCUUCCAAAAUAAACAGAAAUUAAAAUAAUAUAUAGGAAAAAAGAAUGUAUGCCUACAAAGCCAGCAUGACAGAAAAUACUUAAAGAAAUGCUAUAUAUGGAAGAAAUUAAAAACAAACUCCAGAGCUCAUAAAUGGAUGAAUCUCAUUAGAAGAAUAGCUAAGCAAAUGAGAAACAAGACUGAAUUAUACAUUAGAAAUAAAUCAAAAUUGCAAGAAUUAAUAAACAUUUCUCAUAAUAACACUGUAAAUGGUCUCAACUCUUCAAAAAAGACAAAGACUCAGACUGGAUUAAAAAACAAGAUCCAACUAUAUGUUGUUUGUAAUCAUCUCAUAGGCAGAGACAGCCACAAGUUGGAAAUGAUAGGAAGGAAAAUGACAUUACAUGUAAGUGGAGCCUCAAAACAGGCAGAAGAAGCUAUUCUCAUAUCUGACAAAGCAGAUUUCAAGCCAGAAUUAUUCAGAAGAGACAUUCACUAUAUACUGUUAAAGAGAACAAUCCAACAUGAAGACACAUUGAUACUAUUUAUGCCCCAAACAUCAGUAUGCCCAAUGACAUAAAAGAAACACUACUCAACAUAAAGACUCAGACAGAUCCCAAUGCAAUAAUCCUACCUCUCUCCAAUUGAUAGGUCAUCCAUACAUAAAAGCAGUAAAAACUCUUCAUACCUAAAGUAUAUUAUAUAUUAAAUGGACCUAACAGACAAAUACACUUUCUUCUCAGCCCCUCAUGGAAGCCUCUUCAAAAUACCAUGCUUUAGAACACAAAGUAAGUCUUAGCAAAUAUUUUAAAAACUGCUAAAGUUUCUUGCAUGCACCUUACUAAAUCAUAGUGAAAAGAAACUAGAAAUCAAUAGCAAUAAAAACAACAGAAUUUAUGUAAAAAUAUGGAGUGAUUAAAUAACACAUUUUUGAACAAUGAAUGGGUCAUCUAAGGAUCAGGGAAGAAAUUUAAAAGUCUAGAAACAAAUGAGAACAUAGUUAAAAACGUAUCAGAAUGUCUAGAUCACUAGAAGGCUAGACAAGAGGAAAGUUUAUAGUUAUGAGUGCCUACAUUUCAAAAAACAAGAAAGAUUCCAGACAAACUAAUGAUGCAUCUCAAGAUCUUCAAAAAACAAGUCAAUUCCAAAACCGGGACAAGAAGAUCAAAGACAAAAAUCAACGAGAUAGAGAGUAGUAAAGCAAUACAAAAUAUCAACAUAAUGAAUAAUUGUUUAUUUGAGGUGAUAAACAGAUUUGCUAAGCCCUUAGCCAAACUAACCAAAAUAAAGAAAAAGAGCCCCCAAAUUAUAAAAAUUUGAGUUAAAAAAGGAGCUAUGGCCACAGACCUCACUGGAAUCCAGAGGUUCAUUAGGGACUACUUUGAAAACUUGUGUUCCAAUAAAUUAGAUAGAAAUAGAUAAAUUUCUAGACAUAUACAACCUACAAAAAUUGAGCCAAGAGGCUAUACAAAACUUAAACUGACCAAUAAUAAACAAUGAUAUUGAAGCAAUGAUAAAAAGCCUUCCAACAAAGCAAGCCCCAAGAUCAGAUGAAUUCUUAUAUGAAUUCAUAUUUAGAGAAGGACUAAUGCCAAUAAGUUCCUUAAAUUAUUCCAUGAAAUAUAAAAGGUUGAAAUACUUUCAAAUUCAUUCUAUGAUGCCAGGAUCAUCCUGAUACCUAAACAUAUAAAAGAAGGAGAACUACAGAUCAACAUCCUUGAUGCACAUAGAUGCCAAAAUCCUUAAUAAAUAUUGUCAAAUCCUAUUUAAUAUCACAUUAAAAUAAUGUUCAUCAUUAUCAAAUUGGUUUCAUUCCAGGGAUGCAAGGAUGGUUCAACAUUCUUGCAACAAGUGAAAUCAAUAAAUGUAAUUCACCACAUAAAUAUAAUUAAAGAUGAAAACCACAGUCAUCUUAAUAGAUGCUGAAAAAGCUUUUGUCAAAAUUCAGCACCUAUCAUAAUAUAAACAGUAAAGUAACUAAGGAUAGAAAGAACUUACUUAAAUAUCAUGGAGGUGGGGCUGGCAUUGUGGCUCAGCAGUAGAGCACUUGCCUAGCACGUGCAAGGCCCUGGGUUCGAUCCUCAGCACCACAUAAAAAUAAAGAUAUUGUGUUCAACUACAACUAAAAAAAAUAAUAAUAAAUAUUUAAAAAAUAUCAUGGAGGUGAUAUAUGACAAACCCAAAGCCAACAUCAUAGUAAAUGGGGGAGGGACAACGGAAAAUAUUUCCUCUAAAAUGAGGAACAAGACACGGAAGUUCACUCUCACCACACUUAUUUAAUAGUACUUUGAAAUUUAGGUAGAGCAAUUACAGGAGAGAAGGAAAUAAAAGGAAUACAAACAGGAAAGAAAAAAUAAAAUUAUCACUGUUGGAAGAUGAUAUGAUCCUAUACUUAGGAUAUUCAUAAAGCUCAACAAGAAGAUUUCUAUAGUUGAUAAAAAAUAAACAUAGUGGAAUAUAAGAUCAACAUAUAAAAAUCAACAGCUUUCCUGUAUGCCAAUAAUAAAGCUGCUAAGAAAGAAGACAGGAAAACAGUUCCAUUCACAACAGCCACAAAUAAGCAAAUGAGUUGGUUGUGGUGGCGCACAUCUGUAAUCCCAGCGGCUCGGAAAGCUGAGUCAGGAGGAUUGUGAGUUCAAAGCCAGCUUUAGCAACAGCGAUGCACUUAGCAACUCAGUGAGACCCUGUCUCUAAAUAAAAUACAAAAUAGGACUGGGGAUGUGGCUCAGUUUGGUUGAGUGUUUUUGAGUUCAGUCCCCAGUACCAAAAAACAAACAAAUGAACAAACAAACAAAAACCUAGGGAUAAAUCUAACCAAGGAGGAAAAAGACCUCUACAAUGAAAAUUAUAGAACACAGAAUAAAGAAAUUAAGAAGACUUUAGAACAUAGAAAGACCUCCCUGUUCUUUGAUAUGCAGAAUGAAUAUUGUUAAAAUGGCCAUAAUACCGAAAGCAAUCUACAGAUUCAUUGCAAUCCCCAUCAAAAUACCAAUGACAUUUAUUAAAGAACUAGAAAUAAUAGUCUAAAAUUCAUUAGGAAGAAUAAAAGAUGCAAAAUAGUAAAAACAAUUAGAGCAAUUCAGGAAGCAUCACAAAACUUAAUUUCAAAUUAUAGUACAGAGCUAUAGUAACAAAAAUUUCAUGGUAUUGGCAUAAAAACAGACAUAUACACCAAUGGAAUAGAAUAGGAGAAAUGGAAACAAACCCACACAGAUAUAGUCAUCUGAUUCUUGAUGCACCAAAACAUAUAUUGGGGCCUUUUUAACAGCUAAUGCUGGGAAUCUAGAUAUCCAUGUACAGAGGAAUGAGAGUAAUUCCCUAUCUCUCACUCUGCACAAAAGUCAAUUCAAAAUGGAUGAAUGACAUAGGAUUUAGACUAGAAACUUUGCAACUCCUAGAAGAAAACAUAAGGUCAACCCUCCCAACAAGUAGGCACAAGCGAUGACUUCCUCAAUAGAACUCCUAAAGCUCAGGAAAUAAUACUUAGAAUUAAUAAAUGGGACAGCAUCAAAUUAAAACACUUCUUUACAGAAAGGGAAACAAUUGAUAGGGUGAAGAGAGAGUCUCCAAAAUGGGAGAAAAUCUUUGCCAGCUGGUCUUCUGACAGAGGAUUAAUAUCCAUAAUAUAUAAAGAACUCCAAAACAAAAACAAAAACAAAACAACAAAAUAACUCAAUCAAUAAAUGGGCAAAUUAACUAAAUAGAUACUUCUCAAAAAAAGAAAUAAAAAUAGCCAACAAAUUAAUGAAAAAAUGUUCAAGAGCUUUAGUAAUCAAGGAAAUGCAAAUCAAAACUAUACUGAGAUUUCAUCUCAGUUGGAAUGGUCAUUAUCAAGAAUACAAAUAUUAGGGCUGGGGUUGUGGCUCAGUGGUAAGAGUGUUCAUCUACCGUGCACAAGGCACCGGUUCGAUCCUCAGCACCACAUAAAUGUAAAAUAAAGAUAUUGUAUCCACCUAAAGCUUAAGAAUAAAUAUUUUUAAAAAGAAUACAAAUACUAAUAAAUGUUGGAGAAGAUGUGGGAUUGUACUCAACCACUAUGAAAAUCAGUAUGGAGGUUCUUCAACAGAGUAGGAAUAGAACCCCUACAUGACCAACUAUACUACUCUUUGGUAUUUAUUCUAAAGAAUUAAAGUCAUAUUAAAAUGACAUAUGCAUAUCCAUGUAUAUAGUAGCACAAUUCAUGAUAGCCAAGCUAUCAGCCUAGGCUUUGGUUCACAGAUGGACAGACAAAGAAAGUGUAGUGUGUGUGUAUAUAUAUAUAUA
rnacentral:lncRNA from 1 species